rnacentral:rRNA from 1 species
GACGAACGCUGGCGGCGUGCCUAAUACAUGCAAGUCGAGCGGACGAAUCGAAAGCUUGCUUUUGAUUCGUUAGCGGCGGACGGGUGAGUAACACGUGGGCAACCUGCCCUGUAGACGGGGAUAACACCGAGAAAUCGGUGCUAAUACCGGAUAACACGAAAUGUCGCAUGACGUUUCGUUGAAAGACGGCGCAAGCUGUCGCUACAGGAUGGGCCCGCGGCGCAUUAGCUAGUUGGUGAGGUAACGGCUCACCAAGGCGACGAUGCGUAGCCGACCUGAGAGGGUGAUCGGCCACACUGGGACUGAGACACGGCCCAGACUCCUACGGGAGGCAGCAGUAGGGAAUCUUCCGCAAUGGACGAAAGUCUGACGGAGCAACGCCGCGUGAGCGAAGAAGGCCUUCGGGUCGUAAAGCUCUGUUGUUAGGGAAGAACAAGUAACGCAGUAACUGGCGUUACCGUGACGGUACCUAACGAGAAGGCCACGGCUAACUACGUG